rnacentral:lncRNA from 1 species
UGGAUGUUGUGGUAGUCGAAAUUUCUUUCUUGGUGGAGAAAACGGUGAUAAUUGAAUGACGGGCAUGUUCGAUACCAGUUCAACCAACCAUGGACUAACACGCUUCACAUUCUGUAACAAAUCUGGUUCAUCCCAUGUCACCUGCAGGUAGGGUUUUACCGUAUAAAUUCAAGAACAAAAUUACACUAUGAACCACACUACUUUAACAAUGCAAUCGGAUCAUCCAUCAGGAAGCAGAAAUGAAGGCCUGACGACAUAGGAAAAGGAAAAUGACUUCGAGAUAAAGCAUGACGAAAAUAUGAUAUAAUGAAGGAGGCAUUCUUCUACCAAAAUCAAACCUGAACCGCAUUCACCAGAAUAGAAGAACUUGCCCCACAUUCUAUCAGCCACACACAUAAGAUCAAAUCCUAUUUAUCCCACAUUGAUAAAUUCUCAAAGAACAAAAGUGCAAAAGAGGGGUAACCUAUUGAACCCAGAAAGAGUAUCUUCUUUCUGAGCACCUAGAAAUCUUCCAGAUCACGGGAAUAAAUGAAACCAGACAAAAUCAAAUCUUUGGUACUAAACAGCCAGCUUCUCAGGUGAAUUAAUGCACUUCAAUAACAGUAUCCGGAGCAGAAGAAAUUGUAAAGGAAAAUGAAUGAAACAGAGAGAAGACGAAGGAGGAGAUACCUG